rnacentral:misc_RNA from 1 species
UUGCAUGCCUGUUGCUGCUGUGCACAAAACCGCUCAUGCGAGUAGACCGCUCGCUAAGUGCCUUUCUCUCUUUCUGUGCUUGUGUGUCCACAUCUGUGCGUACGCAGAAACGGGGCGCUUCACCAUUGCCGUGAAUCGACCGCGUCCACCGCGCAUAGCCGACGAGGACUGGAGGGGAGACAGGCAAGCAUCACCCCUCCUUCCCAUGCCAACAUGAGCGCCACAGUGCCUGCUGCGCACGCGCACGAGGGCACGGGCGGCUGCGCGCCAUGCCACGUAUCCACUUUGCACCCCUGCGAAGGGGAUGGAGGGGAGGAGGAGAAGGGGUAUAGUGCGUCGUCGGGCGCAGACGCCGCCGUCGAACCUUUGGACCCUCUUCGCUGCUUCAGCGCUUUCGAUGUACUGCGCGGUGCCCUUGCCACCUGCACGUGUGCGCCAGCCCUCUCUCGCUCGACAGAAAAAGGCGCUGGCUCCCCCUCGCUACUCCCAGGCGCCCCUCUGCCGUCAGCGUGGAGGACGGAGCAAACGCGGGAGGCGUUGGGGACAUUGGUUGACCUUGUCGCGGCCGACGUUGGCAUUUCGAGCGCACGGCACGGGCAAGACGAAGCACCAAAGGAUGUGGAGAGCGCCAGGUCUCGACUCAGUGUGGACGCACUGCUCUUGCACCUCACGGCGGAGGGGCCAAGUCUGCGGGCAGCCCUGCGCCGCCGUCGUCGUCAACUCCUACCGAUGCCUCCGCGCGAUGACGCGACAACCCACUCAGAGCCAGAGGCGUGUGAUGAGGCGCGCGCCGCUUGUGAAGAGGAUGAGGCCUUGACAGUUCUCAUUCGCUGCGCGGCCAGCGUUGCACUGGCCAACCGCAACCUAGGGAGCAAUGCACGGAAGGACAGGAAAGAGGUGCAGACGCCUGCUAGCCGUGUGCUACAGACGUGCACGGCUCUCUCUCUUCUCCGCACCAGCUCGCUUUUUCACCAGCCGCUGCGCGCAGGGACUGAACACACGGCAGCGUCUCGAUCCACCAUCGCAGCAGCUGAUGCGUCCGCGUACUGGUGCUCGACCGGCUGCAUGGGCCUUGAUCAGGCACUAGGUGGUGGGGGCUUCCGCAGUGGUUGGGUCACCGAGGUGUACGGCGAGGCUGGGGCAGGCAAGACGCAGCUGGGGCUUCAGUGCCUCCUGCAGCAGGCUGCUACAGAUGUUUGCCACGCGGCCGUAGCCCUGGCGCUAGCCAGCAACGCAGACCUCACGUCCCUUGCUCACAUGGCGACGGCAGCGGGAAUGUGCGGCUCCAGCAGCCCUGCUGUGAAGUGCAUGGAAGUGUUUGACCGCGAUGCUGUCGAGGCAGCGCGCUGUGCUGUGGUGUACCUGGUUUCCGAGGACGUGCCCACCUCCCGGCUGGGGUCGCUGGCCGCCGCAGCUGUAGGGCGGGCUGUUCGCGCUGUGCGGCUUCACCCACUCGUCAAUCAGCUGCCAUCUUGUGCUGUGAAGACAGUGUGGGGCUGCGUUGAGCGCACAUGCACUGUGCCGAUGGUUUUGUCCAGUCUGCAGAUUCGCCACGUUACAUCAGUGGCGGAGGUGCUGCGGCUGCUAGAGCCUCUGCCGCAUUCACGGCUUGCCCAGGCCUCAGGGAUUACCUCUCUCACCAACGCUAUCCCCAACAGGGCCCAGAGACCGCGCAGCAGCAGCUUGGUUGAGGCCGUGCGUGUCCUGGCCGGCUCUCACGGCCGUGCCUUGGUGGUGCUGGACUCCGUCGCGGCUGCAGUGGUGGCGGGGCAGUGGGACAUGCAAGGUGUGGCACAGGCCGACGCGACUGUGACGGCCCUCAGUUUGCGGCUCCGGCAAGCUGUCAUGACACACAACUGGUGCAUUGUCGUGACGAACCAGGUGCGCGCGAUCCCAACGACUGACCGUCAACGUCAGUGCGCGCUGGCACCGAUCAAACGUGCUCGCUCGCCCACGACUUUCUCUGCGGCAUCGGCAUCCUUUUCGGCUCGCACUGUCGUACCCGCACUUGGCUUCUCCUGGGCCUCCGCGCCACACUGUCGCGUGCUUUUGCGCAAGUCCCUUUCUCACGGUGUGCGCCAGCUUGUGCUGCACCACGCUCCCUCGCAUCCGCCUGCGCAGGCGAGCUACCUGAUUACAGAGCACGGCAUCGAAGACGCAUGAGGGAAGAAGCUGAGAGGCAGCGCGUGCGUGACACUGAGGGGUGCGGAAAGAGGCAGGAAAACAUUUUGCCCGCGCUUUACAUGAGUGCUCUCUCUCUCUCUCUGUCUCGCCGAACGCGAGGGCGUGUACGUGUGUCUGUGCUCUGCCCUCCUCUCCACCCUGCUAUGCGCUCCUCUUGCUUGCGAUCUUUUUCUGUCUUCGGUGACCUUACGGCUGCCAUGGCGCUCUUGCCACAUCAUCUUGCACCUUUUCUCCGCCACGGGCGCCUAGGCGUGCUUGGACGCACGUGUCUGGUUGGUGAUCAACGACGACG